rnacentral:rRNA from 1 species
UACGUAGGGGGCAAGCGUUGUCCGGAAUCAUUGGGCGUAAAGGGCGCGUAGGCGGCCCAGUAAGUCCGUUGUAAAAGUCAAAGGCUCAACCUUUGAAUGCCGAUGGAUACUGCUGGGCUAGAGUCCGGAAGAGGCGAGUGGAAUUCCUGGUGUAGCGGUGGAAUGCGCAGAUAUCAGGAGGAACACCAAUGGCGAAGGCAGCACUCUGGGACGUGACUGACGCUGAGACGCGAAAGCGUGGGGAGCAAACAGG